GUGGGGUUUGAAACACCUAAUUAAACACCCAAAAUCAUCACUGUGUACAAAAAAUACAUACAAGUACAAUAACAUGUGGAAAAGCUGACCAGGUUCAAUGCACCUCAACACAACAUAAUUCACUAUUUCUUGGUUAUUAUUCCUAUGCUCACAGAGCUUCAACAAAUAGCUGUUAUUCCAAAAAUGGCACCUAUCUUCCUUGAGUUGAAGAGAAGAAGAUCUAAAAAGUUCCAUGGAUCUUCCAAAAUAAAAGUAGCAUUCCAAAAUUAAUUAUGGGCUGUGAUUUCACUCAAGGAAAGGAAUGUGAGCUGCCUUUAUUUUAUGGAAUGAAGAUUAAGGUUAAAAAUAAAGGUGCCAAUAAAUGGUGUAUAUGAAUUAUGAAGAGCCAAGUUUGGAUAAAUCUCUACAUUUGGAGAACUGAGAGAUAUCAGAGACUGGCAUCAUAUUAUGUUGACUUGUUCUCGAGUUUCCCCUUCACAACUUCACAACUUCUAUAAUAUCUAUUGAUUUAUGUAAUUUUCCAUUUUGUUUCCAUGUUGUAGAUCUCAAAUUUAUGUUUCUUUUAAUGGGUUGGUCAUUUUCAAGAUUCAA